rnacentral:rRNA from 1 species
AGUGAACGCUGGCGGUAGGCCUAACACAUGCAAGUCGAACGGCAGCACAGUAAGAGCUUGCUCUUACGGGUGGCGAGUGGCGGACGGGUGAGGAAUACAUCGUAAUCUACUUUUUCGUGGGGGAUAACGUAGGGAAACUUACGCUAAUACCGCAUACGACCUACGGGUGAAAGCAGGGGAUCUUCGGACCUUGCGCGAUUGAAUGAGCCGAUGUCGGAUUAGCUAGUUGGCGGGGUAAAGGCCCACCAAGGCGACGAUCCGUAGCUGGUCUGAGAGGAUGAUCGGCCACACUGGAACUGAGACACGGUCCAGACUCCUACGGGAGGCAGCAGUGGGGAAUAUUGGACAAAGGGCGCAAGCCUGAGCCAGCCAUACCGCGUGGGUGAAGAAGGCCUUCGGGUUGUAAAGCCCUUUUGUUGGGAAAGAAAAGCAGCAGGUUAAUACCCCGCUGUUCUGACGGUACCCAAAGAAUAAGCACCGGCUAACUUCGUG